GCAGAUCUUGCUCGAUUUCGGCCCCAGUGAGAGCGAGCGUCGACGAGCUGUGUGCGAGUCGCGGAUUCGUUUGAAAUUCGGCUCAAAAUCUCGAUUGUUUGUCUUCAGUUUCCUCAAGUCGACGUCAGUUUUCAAUCUCGAGUGCUGAGAGAAGAAAAAUAACAAUAAAAAAAGAGAAGUAACACAUAAUUGUUCUUAAAAAAGGAUAUUAAAAGAACAAAGAAAACAAAUAAAACAUAAAACACACAAAAAAAAACGAAUUAAAAUUUAGUGUCGCCCCUUGAAAGCAGAACACA